rnacentral:tRNA from 1 species
GGCGGCGUAGCCAAGUGGGAAGGCAGAGGUCUGCAAAACCUCUAUUCAGCGGUUCGAAUCCGCUCGCCGCCUCCA